UACGUAGGCGGAAUAUUAAGUCAGUGGUGAAAUCCUGCGGCUCAACCGUAGAACUGCCAUUGAUACUGAUGUUCUUGAAUGUAGUUGAGGUAGGCGGAAUGUGUAAUGUAGCGGUGAAAUGCUUAGAUAUUACACAGAACACCGAUUGCGAAGGCAGCUUACUAAACUAUGAUUGACGCUGAUAUACGAAAGCGUGGGGAGCGAACAGGAUUAGAUACCCUGGUAGUCC
rnacentral:rRNA from 1 species